AGAGUUUGAUCCUGGCUCAGAUUGAACGCUGGCGGCAUGCCUUACACAUGCAAGUCGAACGGCAGCACGGGAGCAAUCCUGGUGGCGAGUGGCGAACGGGUGAGUAAUAUAUCGGAACGUGCCCAGUCGUGGGGGAUAACGUAGCGAAAGCUACGCUAAUACCGCAUACGAUCUACGGAUGAAAGCAGGGGACCGCAAGGCCUUGCGCUCACGGAGCGGCCGAUGGCAGAUUAGGUAGUUGGUGGGAUAAAAGCUUACCAAGCCGACGAUCUGUAGCUGGUCUGAGAGGACGACCAGCCACACUGGGACUGAGACACGGCCCAGACUCCUACGGGAGGCAGCAGUGGGGAAUUUUGGACAAUGGGCGAAAGCCUGAUCCAGCCAUGCCGCGUGCAGGAUGAAGGCCUUCGGGUUGUAAACUGCUUUUGUACGGAACGAAAAGGUCUUUUCUAAUAAAGAA
rnacentral:rRNA from 1 species